rnacentral:rRNA from 1 species
ACACGACUCUCGGCAACGGAUAUCUCGGCUCUCGCAUCAAUGAAGAACGUAGCGAAAUGCGAUACCUGGUGUGAAUUGCAGAAUCCCGCGAACCAUCGAGUCUUUGAACGCAAGUUGCGCCCGAGGCCACUCGGCCGAGGGCACGCCUGCCUGGGCGUCACGC